rnacentral:rRNA from 1 species
UACGUAGGGGGCAAGCGUUGUCCGGAUUUAUUGGGCGUAAAGCGCUCGCAGGUGGUUCGUCGCGUCGUGCGUGAAAGACCCCGGCUCAACUGGGGGAGGUCGUGCGAUACGGGCGAACUGGAGGCCAGUAGGGGGAUGCGGAAUUCCGGGUGUAGUGGUGGAAUGCGUAGAGAUCCGGAAGAACACCGGUGGCGAAGGCGCCGCUGGGCAGUAGCUGACGACUGAGGCGCGACAGCGUGGGGAGCAAACA